rnacentral:rRNA from 1 species
UACGGAGGGAGCUGGCGUUGUUCGGAAUUACUGGGCGUAAAGCGCACGUAGGCGGCUUUGUAAGUUAGAGGUGAAAGCCCGGGGCUCAACUCCGGAACUGCCUUUAAGACUGCAUCGCUUGAAUCCGGGAGAGGUGAGUGGAAUUCCGAGUGUAGAGGUGAAAUUCGUAGGUAUUCGGAAGAACACCAGUGGCGAAGGCGGCUCACUGGACCGGUAUUGACGCUGAGGUGCGAAAGCGUGGGGAGCAAACAGG